GUUCCCUCCUUAGCUAAAAAAUUAGGUCUCUCCCUUCCAAAUCGCUCUCAGCCUCUUUCUCACUCGCCAUCGUUCUCAGCCUCUCUCUCACUCCCUAUCGCUCUCAGCCUCAAUCCCGCUCACUCUCUCACCCUUGUCGAGCCUCUCAGCCUCACUCUCACUCAGCCUCAUCGAUCUCUCUCCGUCGUGCGUGCCUUCAGUCUCUCCACCACGGGUUCUCUUUCUGUCAGUCUCCCUCAGUCGCUACUCCAUAUCUCUCUCUCUCUCUCCCCCUCCCCCUUGAGGAUCCACGGGUUCACUCUUCAGCCUCCAUCUCUCUCUCCUUAUUUUGCGACACGGGUUGGGUGCACCGGCGUUGUGUUUUUCGUUGAGGAGAAAGAUGAACGACUCAGAUUGUAAUUUUUAAUAAUAAAAUUCAGAUAUGACCAUAUGAUAUUGUGGAUUCAUAUGGAUUUUGGUAAAUUUGUUUAGGUUUUUAAUCAAAAGUGAACCGGGCCUGUCUGAAGCUUAGGAUUUAUAGCUAGCUAUUUGGUAAUCUAAGAUGGUGUCUGUUUGGUUUUUAAUAUUUGGUUCGAUUGAGUGUGUUGAAUUAGUUUCUGGGUUCACUUGGUUGGAAUUGGAUCUGUAGGAAUUGGAAUUGAGUGUAUUGAACUAGUUUCCACUUGGUAAUGUCUUCAGCAAUGUUGCUUCAAACUAUGAUACAAUGAACGAUUUGAUGAGUGUAGGAUUACACAGAUUAUGGAAGAAUGAGUGUAGGGUACUGAAUCUAUUUUGGAAUUGGGGUUGAACUAUUGGACAGUUUGAGCUUUGAAGAGAAGAAUUUGUGGGUUUUUCUAUAUCAAAAACUGUUGAGAUUGAUUUUAUUUUGUGUUUUCCUAAAUUGCUAAUAUCAGUAAUAUGCUAUCGUUGAGUUGAUUGUUGAAUAAUGAAUAUGGAGCAUUUUUUUUACUGCAUAUUGUUAAAGUCAAGUAGUGGAUAAGAGGAUGGAAGUCAAAGUUCAUAUCCUAAUAUGAUGAAGAAUCGGUUUAAGGAAAUGAAGGGAAUAUCUCAAAUUGUAUCUGUUAUAGGUUUCUUAAUUCUUAUUUAGUUUUACAGUCUAUAUAUCAUCUCAUCCCACUUUCUUUCUAUAUUUCAAAAUUUGGAGUCAGUUCUACUCGUAAUGGAUAACUAGACCUGUAUUUUCCUUUUCUUUUUGCCUAGAGAUAGUAAAUUGAAGUUAGGAUAUGGAAACUAAAGAGCUUGUGAGGAUAAAGAACAAUGGAGCUAGCAUUUUGCAUUGAGAAUGGUUAACAGUUAUAUUUGCCCAAGUUUCAAUGGAAGAUUUUGUCAUUUAAUCAUUAAAAAAAAAAAAAACUCAUUGCACUUCGUAAAGGUCAAGUACUAGUUUAGUUAAUGGAAGUGUCAAAUUUUGCAUCCUAAAAUGGAUGUUGAAAACCCAAGAAGUGAGUAGAUUUUCUAGGAGGAAAGCGAAAGUGAGUUUAUCUGAAAUGGGCUGCUGUGUUGUUGAUUCUCUUACUUAUUUCUUCUGGUCUAUUUAACAACUUAUUGCUUUGAAUAUUACGGUUAGAUACGUAAGUAGGAGUAUUUUAAUACAUUUACCUUUGAGUUUAUAGAGUCAAAGUGACACAGAGUCCAGCUAUUGAUGCAUACCUCACUCUUUAUGUUUAACUUAAUAAGACAAACGUUUUGCUUCAUAUGCAGCAUUUGCUUUGAGUUAUCAUAUUUUAUUGGAAUUAGACUGUUGUAUCUGUAUUGUGAUUGAUUCUACAAAUGGGUUUGUUAUAUAGGUGUUCUUUGUGGACUGAUUGUUACUUUCUUACUAAUGUUCUAUAGUGAUUGCAGGAACUUCCGGGCACAAUUACUAGCUAAUGCACAUGCAGCUUUCUAGUUGGACUUUCUAAUGACAGGUUGAUGUACUUUCCAAGGGGACUAAUUUUAAUUGUAUUGGUGAUUGGGUUGUGGAGGCCACUGUAAAGUAAGAUUAGUUUGCAUGCACAUUUUCUUCUACUUAUUUAUAUAGUAUCUAUCUAAAAGAGUUUCCCUUGGUGCUUGUUUGUUUGCAAUGUUAUGAGCAUUCACCUGACGAGUGCAAAGUCUUUGGUUGGAUAGUUGGAGUUGCACAAAAGGAAAAGAAGGGGCGGGAUGUGUAUGUUAUGGUGAGCUUCUUGAUGGGAAUUCUGGAAGUUUACUUAGUACUGAGCAGCAAAUCCAUGCUCCAGCUAAUUUAAUAAAAGGCACACACCAAAUGCUUUCACAAGCAAUAUAGUGCUUUUAACAGAUCACACAGUUUUGUUUUUCUGGGCCAUGCAAAUACUGAAAGGCACUUUGCAUUGUGUCUUCAUCAAGAUUGGGUAUCAAGGUGGGCUUUGCUUAAAAAUUAGGAUCAAGAAGGUUGGUAUGUGGAGAUAAUAAUAAAGGCAUACGGAGAAAGCUUGCCUUGACCACACUGCUGGCUUAGUUGCUGUGUGUAAAUAGUACUAUCGUAUCUAGUAGUUGGUGACUUAUUUUGGUAACCUCCUUGAUUGUACAAGAUAGACAAUAUUACUUGCUAGAUUGAGGUUACUUUUGGUUAGGAUUGCUGGAUUUGAUCAUAUCUGGAUAUGGAUAUGUACUUUUGGAAAUGUUUUGGAUUGGCAAUGUAAGAACAGAUGGCAUUGAUAUAUGACAAUGUUAUAUUUUGGAUUUGUUCAGGAUAUGAAUGUUCAUAUUUGCAACAA